GACGAACCGUACGAACGUUAUUCGGAAUCACUGGCUUAAAGGGUGCGUAGGCGGCGCGACAAGUUGGGUGCGAAAUCCCUCGGCUCAACCGAGGAACUGCGCCCAAAACUGUCGUGCUCGAGGGAGACAGAGGUGAGCGGAACUUAGGGUGGAGCGGUGAAAUGCGUUGAUAUCCUAAGGAACACCGGUGGCGAAAGCGGCUCACUGGGUCUCUUCUGACGCUGAGGCACGAAAGCUAGGGUAGCGAACGGG
rnacentral:rRNA from 1 species